rnacentral:lncRNA from 1 species
GCAUGGACCCAUAUGGCUAGAGACCAUGUAUUUGUGCAGUCAAACUACAAUAACCUCACUGUGAGUAGCCAAAGCAUCGCAGGUCAAAGGACCAGUCACACUACUGCAACAUCAAGCAAGUCACUGACAAGUGGAUAGACAUCCAAGUGACUUCUUGUGUUGGUCACGCUCAGUACCCUUGUUCUCUAACAAGCACUUGCACAAUUGCUCCAGUGUC